AAACCAAACCGGCUCCGAGCUUGUGAUCCUAAGUUGUCGAUACGGCAAUAUGGUAACAAUGCCAGUGAUAAAAAUGAUAGUCAAUCACUCAAUGGAUAGCAGAUAAAUCGGUUGUUCACUCAUGUUUAGAAAGGUGCCAAAUUUUAACUUGU
rnacentral:ncRNA from 1 species